rnacentral:rRNA from 1 species
CAGCCGCCACGGGAAUACAGAGGGUGCGAGCGUUAAUCGGAUUUACUGGGCGUAAAGCGUGCGUAGGCGGCUUCUUAAGUCGGAUGUGAAAUCCCUGAGCUUAACUUAGGAAUUGCAUUCGAUACUGGGAAGCUAUAGUAUGGGAGAGGAUGGUAGAAUUCCAGGUGUAGCGGUGAAAUGCGUAGAGAUCUGGAGGAAUACCGAUGGCGAAGGCAGCCAUCUGGCCUAAUACUGACGCUGAGGUACGAAAGCAUGGGGAGCAAACAGGAUUAGAUACCCCAGUAGUCCCUGUCUCUUAUAC